rnacentral:rRNA from 1 species
AUUGAACGCUGGCGGCAGGCCUAACACAUGCAAGUCGAGCGAGCGGCGGACGGGUGAUUAAUGUCUGGGAACCUGCCGGAGGGAGGGGGAUACCUACUGGAACCGGUAGCUACUCCCGCAUACCAUCAGAUGUGCCCAGAUGGGAUUAGCUAGUAGGUGGGGUAACGGCUAACCUAGGCGACGAUCCCUAGCUGGUCUGAGAGGAUGACCAGCCACACUGGAACUGAGACACGGUCCAGACGCCUACGGGAGGCAGCAGUGGGGAAUAUUGCACAAUGGGCGCAAGCCUGAUGCAGCCAUGCCGCGUGUGUGAAGAAGGCCUUCGGGUUGUAAAGCACUUUCAGCGGGGAGGCGUUACCCGCAGAAGAAGCACCGGCUAACGCCGUGCCAGCAGCCGCGGUAAUAC